rnacentral:rRNA from 1 species
UAAGGAAUAUUGGUCAAUGGACGCAAGUCUGAACCAGCCAUGCCGCGUGGAGGAUUAAGGCCCUCUGGGUUGUAAACUCCUUUUAUCUGGGAAGAAAUGUACUUUUUCUUGAGUACUUGACGGUACCAGAGGAAUAAGCACCGGCUAACUCCGUGCCAGCAGCCGCGGUAAUACGGAGGGUGCAAGCGUUAUCCGGAUCCACUGGGUUUAAAGGGUGCGUAGGUGGGCAGGUAAGUCAGUGGUGAAAUCUCCGGGCUUAACCCGGAAACUGCCGUUGAUACUAUUUGUCUUGAAUAUUGUGGAGGUAAGCGGAAUAUGUCAUGUAGCGGUGAGAUGCUUAGAUAUGACAUAGAACACCAAUUGCGAAGGCAGCUUACUACACAAUCAUUGACGCUGAGGCACGAAAGCGUGGGGAUCAAACA